CCCUACGGGGCGCAGCAGGCGCGAAAACUUUACAAUGCGGGAAACCGUGAUAAGGGAACCUCGAGUGCCUGUAAAUCGGGCUGUUCAGGUGUUUAAAACGCAUGUGAAGAAAGGGCCGGGCAAGACCGGUGCCAGCCGCCGCGGUAAUACCGGCGGCUCGAGUGGUGACCACUUUUAUUGGGCUUAAAGCGUUCGUAGCUGGAUCGUUAAGUCCCUUGGGAAAUCCGACGGCUUAACCGUCGGGCGUCUAAGGGAUACUGGCAGAUCUGGGACCGGGAGAGGU
rnacentral:rRNA from 1 species